rnacentral:rRNA from 1 species
GACGAACGCUGGCGGCGUGCUUAACACAUGCAAGUCGAACGGAAAGGCCCUGCUUUUGUGGGGUGCUCGAGUGGCGAACGGGUGAGUAACACGUGAGUAACCUGCCCUUGACUUUGGGAUAACUUCAGGAAACUGGGGCUAAUACCGGAUAGGAGCUCCUGCUGCAUGGUGGGGGUUGGAAAGUUUCGGCGGUUGGGGAUGGACUCGCGGCUUAUCAGCUUGUUGGUGGGGUAGUGGCUUACCAAGGCUUUGACGGGUAGACGGCCUGAGAGGGUGACCGGCCACAUUGGGACUGAGAUACGGCCCAGACUCCUACGGGAGGCAGCAGUGGAGAAUAUUGCACAAUGGGCGGAAGCCUGAUGCAGCAACGCCGCGUGCGGGAUGACGGCCUUCGGGUUGUAAACCGCUUUCGCCUGUGACGAAGCGUGAGUGACGGUAAUGGGUAAAGAAGCACCGGCUAACUACGUG